GUUGCCAGCGGUUCGGCCGGGAACUCAAAGGAGACUGCCAGUGAUAAACUGGAGGAAGGUGGGGAGUGACGUCAAGUCAUCAUGGCCCUUACGAGUAGGGCUACACACGUGCUACAAUGGCAUAUACAAAGAGAAGCGACCUCGCGAGAGCAAGCGGACCUCAUAAAGUAUGUCGUAGUCCGGAUUGGAGUCUGCAACUCGACUCCAUGAAGUCGGAAUCGCUAGUAAUCGUGGAUCAGAAUGCCACGGUGAAUACGUUCCCGGGCCUU
rnacentral:rRNA from 1 species